UGCCAGCAGCCGCGGUAACACGGGGGGCGCAAGCGUUAUUCGGAAUUAUUGGGCGUAAAGGGCGCGCAGGCGGUUUUUUAAGUCUGUGGUUAAAUCCCAGGGCUCAACCUGGGAACUGCACCUGAUACUGCCAGUCUAGAAUACGGUAGAGGGUAGUGGAAUUUCCUGUGUAGCGGUGAAAUGCGUAGAUAUAGGAAGGAACACCAGUGGCGAAGGCGACUACCUGGACCGAUAUUGACACUGAGGUGCGAAAGCGUGGGGAGCAAACAGGAUUAGAUA
rnacentral:rRNA from 1 species